AUUGAACGCUGGCGGCAGGCUUAACACAUGCAAGUCGAACGAGUCGCGGACGUGUGAGUUCUGCUUCUGAAUCUAGCUUAUGGAUGGGGAUAACUACGGGACACUGUAGCUAAUACCGUGUACCAUAGCAUGAGCCCCAGUGGGAUUAGUUAGUUGGUGGGGUAAAGGCUCACCAAGCCGACGAUCUCUACCUGGUCUGAGAGGAUGACCAGCCACACUGGAACUGAGACACGGCCCAGAAUCCUACGGGAGGCAGCAGUGGGGAAUAUUGCACAAUGGGCGCAAGCCUGAUGCAGCCAUGCCGCGUGUAUGAAGAAGGCCUUCGGUUUGUAAAGUACUUUCAGUCGGGAGGCGUUACCGACAGAAGAAGCACCGGCUAACUCCGUGCCAGCAGCCGAGGUAAUAC
rnacentral:rRNA from 1 species